CCGGUCCGUCCCUGAAUCUCCGCGCCCUCCUCCCCUGCCUCCCCUGCCUUCAACUGGAUCCGAACAACCGGUCCGUCCCUGAAUCUCCGCGCUGACCACCACCCUCCCCGGCCGCCCUCGCCGCCAGAUCGAGCCGUCCACGGCCUUUGUAUGCCGAAUCCGCAGGGCCACGGCCUCGCGCGCCUCCCUCUGCCCACCUGCCAUGCCGCGCCGCCGCAGCCCACCAUGGCCCGCCCCCUCCACCUCCAAGUCUUCCCCCAAUCUAACACCUUCCACCUUCUCUCUCGGGGGCCGGCGAUCAUGGGGAUGGCACUGCCCAUUGCGACGACCCACCGCAGAUCACGGCCUCCCGUUCUAUAUCCAUUGGCCCUGUGCCGGAUCCGGCGAGCAACGACAACGUGGAUACCUACCUCACUCCCAGACUGAACAUGGAUCCGACGAGCACGGCAAUGUGACCACCGCAGUCAAGGCUGGAGUCAGGUUGGAAAUCCCAAACAGGGCUGUGCUCGAUAGCAAGGGGCUCACAGUUAAACAAGAAGAACAUGCUACAGACAGUGAUGUUGAGGCUGCCUAUACACCACAGGCCCAUGCCACCUACAACAAUCACAACCAGUUCCUCUGUAAAAAGCACAAGCAGCCAUUUGAGUACAUCGACCGGCCCUUGUCAUCGGAUUGGAUCCCAGAUUAUAAAUGAGAAGAAAUCCAUCUAAAACCAGGGGAAUUCAUUAUUCGCGGUGAGCCUUGCAUCGGUUAUGCUGAUGAGUUUAGCCCGUACUGUGUGUACGGAAAUGAAGUGAAGUUGUACAACAAUAAUCUUAAGAAGCUGCGCAAGCUAAUUAAAAACAAGAGAACACCUAACAGCUACUAUGUCUGCCACAUGACAAAGACCUUUGCAACCCCUGGAAAAAGAAUGGAUUUCCUGGUGCCCUUCUCUAAAGGCAGUAUCUACCCACAUAUGGAUGCCAGCAAUGAAUUGCCAGUGAGCAAUGGAGAUGGUACUGUCAAUGCCACAGUUCGCUUCAUCAAAGGCGUCGACAACAGAGCCACCAUCACAAAGAACUGGAGCGCUUUCUUUCAGAAGGCAGAAAUGAAAGAGGGCCGGGUCUAUGCCUUUGCGUUCAAAUGCUCAACGAAGGGGCUGCGCCUGAUCGUCUAUCCCCUAUAAGGAGAUCCAUGAAUAUCUGUUGAGUCUAUCCUAGGGUAUACUUUUGGAGCGCGUGUAGCAAAGCAGCAAUGUCAUUUCUAUGUCCUUCCAUCUGUUGAUCUCUCUCAAAACUGUUUCUGCCUUUGCUGUAAAUUAUUGUUCUUAACUACAAUGUCUCCGUAGAAGCGGUUUGAAUUAAUAUGUUGACAGACCACCCUCCCUUAUUGUGAAAGAGAUAGUCUUUUGGGAUGAA